rnacentral:lncRNA from 1 species
AGACUUGACUGAAAAACUGAUAGGUCGAAGAAGCCGUCAAGUACAUCUUGUUUAAAAUAGUUGCCAGUAAAUAAAUGUUAUUCUUUAAUGCUUAUCCAUGUGUUUUUUUUUUUUUUUUUUUCAAGAGCGUCUUGUACCUUUUGGAGAUGCCAGAGACAAUAUGCGGUUGUCUACGAGUAUCGUCCAGUGUCAUCGCAGGACAGUCCAUAGUUGUGGUUACAAUGAAUGGGCGAUAUGAUCUCCGAUUAGAUGCAAAGCAUGUGAAGCCACUUGGAGUCCUGGAGUGGAUGACCUGAUCCGUAAUGACUACUGGCCGGCCACUUCUCACUAUUCAACUGUGUAUGAAACAGAUGUCCUUUUUUCUUUUGAAGAGCUGAAGAUGGCAGCACCAGGGAUAUCUAGCCAAGCAUUUCGUAGAAUGCUGGAUCAACGCACUGUUCGCUUUGGCCGUAAUGGAAACAUCACAGCAGACAGCUUCCGGAAAAGCUUCUUGGAGUGGGAAGCUGUCCGAUUCGAAGUGGACAAAUUAUGCCAGGAGGACCACUUUAACUGCCCAGCAUGCAGCCCAGACAUGCUUGCAGUAUCCGUUGAUGGAAACCGUAAGCACUACAGAUUCAAGAGUGCAGCUAGAUCGGAGGAAAAAGCCAUCUUUGAUGGCGUGUUCAUCACGAAUGAUGAUGACGUCGCAAGAUUCGUGGACUAUGUCCAUACCUCAACCAGUCAUGUACACUUGCUCAACUUCACUAUAUUUACCCAUAAAACACCAAGUCCUACAGAGCACUUUGUUUGAACAAGUUUGGACUGUUAACAAUGUUCCAUGUUUUAGGUCUCUGGAAGAGGUGUCUGUGGAGGGCAAUGGUCAGCGGCUCAUGAAACGUCUCAGAAGUCCUCCGGAAAAACAGACGAGGAGGGCCUGGAACUUGCUGUAUGUCGUCAUGGGGUUCUCCUUCGUGCCCUCAAUAUGUUCAGGGGCGAAAUCUUUGCCUACCCCCUGUACCUCCAAAAGCAAAUGGCCUGUAAGCCAGUUACACCAAGUGUAA